GCACGGCAGACGAGUCCCAAACAGGACGAAACAGCUGUCCAGUGC
rnacentral:hammerhead_ribozyme from 1 species